rnacentral:rRNA from 1 species
UUUCAACUCCAAACCCCAUGUGAACAUACCAUUGUUGCCUCGGCGGAACAGACCUACCCCGGGACCUACCCGGUAGCUACCCUGUAGCUGCGGGUCUGCCCGCCGGCGGAUUACAAACUCUUGUUUUUACGUAACACUUCUGAGUAUACUAUAAAAUAAGUCAAAACUUUCAACAACGGAUCUCUUGGUUCUGGCAUCGAUGAAGAACGCAGCGAAAUGCGAUAAGUAAUGUGAAUUGCAGAAUUCAGUGAAUCAUCGAAUCUUUGAACGCACAUUGCGCCCAUUAGUAUUCUAGUGGGCAUGCCUGUUCGAGCGUCAUUACAACCCUUAAGCCUAGCUGCUUAGCGUUGGGAACUUAGCCUCUAAAGCUAACUCCUUAAAGACAUUGGCAGAGUUGCGGCAUACUCUAAGCGUAGUAAUUCAUUCUCGCUUCUGAAGGUGUCGUGACGAUCGCCACAAACCUCUAUA